UUAAAAAGCUCGUAGUUGGAUUUCUGAUGGUGGUUGGAUGUAUUGGUGGCACUGCCGUCAGACACCACACUACUGUCAAAACAUGUGAUGAUUGGAUGUGGUUGAUUCAUUUCGAUCCGUCCUUAAAUCGCUCGUUUACUUUGAGAAAAUUAGAGUGUUCAAAGCAGGCAUUGUGCUUGAAUAUGUUAGCAUGGAAUAAUAGCAUAGGACUUCAUGCUCUAUUUGUUGGUUGUUCGAGAACUAGAGUAAUGAUUGAUAGGGACGGUUGGGGGCAUCCGUAUUCUCAAGCGAGAGGUGAAAUUCUUGGACCUUGGGAAGACGAACAGCUGCGAAAGCGUUUGCCUAGGACGUUCUCUUUAAUCAAGAACGAAAGUUGGGGGAUCGAAGACGAUCAGAUACCGUCGUAGUCUCAACUAUAAACUAUGCCAGCUAGGGAUCGGUGGUACUUCGUCACGAGUCCAUCGGCACCUUACGAGAAAUCAAAGCAUUUGGGUUCCGGGGGGAGUAUGGUCGCAAGGCUGAAACUUAAAGGAAUUGACGGAAGGGCACCACCAGGAGUGGAGCCUGUGGCUUAAUUUGACUCAACACGGGAAAACUUACCAGGUCCGGACAUAGUAAGGAUUGACAGAUUGAUAGCUCUUUCUUGAUUCUAUGGGGUGGUGGUGCAUU
rnacentral:rRNA from 1 species